AUUGAACGCUGGCGGCAUGCCUUACACAUGCAAGUCGAACGGUAACAGGUCUUCGGAUGCUGACGAGUGGCGAACGGGUGAGUAAUACAUCGGAACGUGCCCGAGAGUGGGGGAUAACGAGGCGAAAGCUUUGCUAAUACCGCAUACGAUCUCAGGAUGAAAGCAGGGGACCGCAAGGCCUUGCGCUCACGGAGCGGCCGAUGGCAGAUUAGGUAGUUGGUGGGAUAAAAGCUUACCAAGCCGACGAUCUGUAGCUGGCCUGAGAGGACGACCAGCCAACCUGGGACUGAGACACGGCCCAGACUCCUACGGGAGGCAGCAGUGGGGAAUUUUGGACAAUGGGCGCAAGCCUGAUCCAGCCAUGCCGCGUGCAGGAUGAAGGCCUUCGGGUUGUAAACUGCUUUUGUACGGAACGAGAAGACUCUGGUUAAUACCUGGGGUCCAUGACGGUACCGUAAGAAUAAGCACCGGCUAACUACGUGCCAGCCGCCGCGGUAAAAC
rnacentral:rRNA from 1 species